UUUCCCCUUAAACAUAAACAAACACCAUUCCCAUCUUUUCCUCCUAUUCAUCACUGCAUCCUUGGCAAGAACUUUUUCCCCUUUUUACUCUUUGUUGGCAAGCUUUCAAGGGUAGUCAAAGCCAAGGCUGAAAAAAAUUAUGACCAACCCACUCACGACUGCUGUGGCAAAACUGCUGCAUUGUAAUUGCAUGGGGAGACAAAGGCUGGGGGCUUUUAUAUGUUUCAAUGGUCAUUUAAAGCUACUAACCUUGAAGGCAAUGACAUCCACUGACCCUAAAAGGUUGAGUCAGGAUGUGAGGACAUCAGAACUGCACACAACAUUUUCCCAGACUUUUGAAACCUAUGACUUACAAAGCCUGCUGAUAACAUCCCUAUGGACCAGAAAGGAAAUGGCAUAAAGAAGACGUCAAGAUCAUUCUGACAAUAAUGCUUUUUGAGGAUUGCCUUUGAGCCACAAAAUUGCUUUAAGGCUUUGACGGCCCCUCAGUCCAUAGUGUGUCUCCCACAGCUGCCUAUAGGAAUAUGGUUGAGGAACUGUACGCAAUCCUUACAGGGUAACUAUCUUUUAUUUUAUCUGUC
rnacentral:lncRNA from 1 species